UACGUAGGGGGCUAGCGUUGUCCGGAAUCAUUGGGCGUAAAGCGCGUGUAGGCGGUUCGGUAAGUCCGCUGUGAAAGUCCAGGGCUCAACCCUGGGAUGCGGGUGGAUACUGCCGGGCUCGAGUCCGGAAGAGGCGAGUGGAAUUCCCGGUGUAGCGGUGAAAUGCGCAGAUAUCGGGAGGAACACCAAUGGCGAAGGCAGCUCGCUGGGACGUGACUGACGCUGAGACGCGAAAGCGUGGGGAGCGAACAGG
rnacentral:rRNA from 1 species